CCUACGGGUGGCAGCAGUGGGGAAUAUUGCACAAUGGGGGAAACCCUGAUGCAGCGACGCCGCGUGAGUGAAGAAGUAUUUCGUUACGUAAAGCUCUAUCAGCAGGGAAGAAAAUGCCUGUCCCUGAGUAAGAAGCCGCGGCUAACUCCGUGACAGCAGCCGCGGUAAUACGGAGGGGGCGAGCGUUAUCCGGAUUUACUGGGGGUAAAGGGAGCGUAGACGGCAGUGCAAGUCGGGAGUGAAAGGCGGGGGCUCAACCGCCGGACUGCUCUGGAGACUGUACGGCUGGAGUGCCGGAGAGGUAAGUGGAAUGCCAGGUGUAGGAGUGAAAGGCGUAGAUAUUAGGAGGAACACCAGUGGCGAAGGCGGCCAACUGGACUGUAACUGACGUUGAGGCUCGAAAGCGUGGGGAGCAAACAGGAUUAGAUACCCGAGUAGUC
rnacentral:rRNA from 1 species